rnacentral:rRNA from 1 species
UACGUAGGGGGCAAGCGUUGUCCGGAUUUAUUGGGCGUAAAGAGCGUGUAGGCGGCCACGCAGGUCCGUUGUGAAAACUGGAGGCUCAACCUCCAGCUGUCGACGGAAACCGUGUGGCUAGAGUCCGGAAGAGGAGAGUGGAAUUCCUGGUGUAGCGGUGAAAUGCGCAGAUAUCAGGAAGAACACCCGUGGCUAAGGCGGCUCUCUAGUACGGUACUGACGCUGAGACGCGAAAGCGUGGGGAGCGAACAGG